rnacentral:rRNA from 1 species
UGCGCAGGCGGUUUUGUAAGACAGAGGUGAAAUCCCCGGGCUCAACCUGGGAACGGCCUUUGUGACUGCAAGGCUAGAGUGUAGCAGAGGGGGGUAGAAUUCCACGUGUAGCAGUGAAAUGCGUAGAGAUGUGGAGGAAUACCGAUGGCGAAGGCAGCCCCCUGGGCCACUACUGACGCUCAUGCACGAAAGCGUGGGGAGCAAACAGGAUUAGAUACCCUGGUAGUCCACGCCCUAAACGAUGUCAACUGGAUGUUGGGAGGGUUAAACCUCUUAGUGUCGUAGCUAACGCGUGAAGUUGACCGCCUGGGGAGUACGGCCGCAAGGCUAAA